rnacentral:tRNA from 1 species
GGUAUAGCUCAGUGGUAGGGUGUGUGCUUGGCAUGCAUGAUGUCCUGGGUUUGGGUUUAAUCCCCAGUACC